rfam:Ruminiclostridium sp. KB18, complete genome.
CAGAAUAAACAGGGGAGCUUGUGUGACAGGCUGAGAGGAAGGUAGACCUUCGACCCUUGAACCUGAUGCGGAUAAUGCCGCCGGAGGAAGUCGUGAAGAUUGGAAC